rnacentral:rRNA from 1 species
GAUGAACGCUGGCGGCGUGCCUAAUACAUGCAAGUCGAGCGAGCAGACGAGGAGCUUGCUCCACUGACGUUAGCGGCGGACGGGUGAGUAACACGUGGAUAACCUACCUAUAAGACUGGGAUAACUUCGGGAAACCGGAGCUAAUACCGGAUAAUAUAUUGAACCGCAUGGUUCAAUAGUGAAAGACGGUUUUGCUGUCACUUAUAGAUGGAUCCGCGCCGCAUUAGCUAGUUGGUAAGGUAACGGCUUACCGAGGCAACGAUGCGUAGCCGACCUGAGAGGGUGAUCGGCCACACUGGAACUGAGACACGGUCCAGACUCCUACGGGAGGCAGCAGUAGGGAAUCUUCCGCAAUGGGCGAAAGCCUGACGGAGCAACGCCGCGUGAGUGAUGAAGGUCUUCGGAUCGUAAAACUCUGUUAUUAGGGAAGAACAAAUGUGUAAGUAACUAUGCACGUCUUGACGGUACCUAAUCAGAAAGCCACGGCUAACUACGUG